UACGGAGGGUGCAAGCGUUAUCCGGAUUCACUGGGUUUAAAGGGUGCGUAGGCGGGCAGGUAAGUCAGUGGUGAAAUCUCCGAGCUUAACUCGGAACUGCCGUUGAUACUAUUUGUCUUGAAUACUGUGGAGGUAAGCGGAAUAUGUCAUGUAGCGGUGAAAUGCUUAGAUAUGACAUAGAACACCAAUUGCGAAGGCAGCUUACUACGCAGUUAUUGACGCUGAGGCACGAAAGCGUGGGGAGCAAACAGG
rnacentral:rRNA from 1 species